rnacentral:rRNA from 1 species
GAUGAACGCUGGCGGCGUGCUUAACACAUGCAGGUCGAACGAAGCACUUUAUUUGAUUUCCUUCGGGACUGAUUAUUUUGUGACUGAGUGGCGGACGGGUGAGUAACGCGUGGGUAACCUGCCUUGUACAGGGGGAUAACAGUUGGAAACGGCUGCUAAUACCGCAUAAGCGCACAGCAUCGCAUGAUGCAGUGUGAAAAACUCCGGUGGUAUAAGAUGGACCCGCGUUGGAUUAGCUAGUUGGUGAGGUAACGGCCCACCAAGGCGACGAUCCAUAGCCGACCUGAGAGGGUGACCGGCCACAUUGGGACUGAGACACGGCCCAAACUCCUACGGGAGGCAGCAGUGGGGAAUAUUGCACAAUGGGCGAAAGCCUGAUGCAGCGACGCCGCGUGAGCGAAGAAGUAUUUCGGUAUGUAAAGCUCUAUCAGCAGGGAAGAUAAUGACGUUACCUGACUAAGAAGCACCGGCUAAAUACGUG